GAAAAUGCCAAAACAAGGAAACAGUUCACAAACAAAAGAAAUGGAGGAAAAGAAUAAAAGACUGGAUAUAGAGUUCAAAACCACAGUUAUAAGGUUUUUCAAUAAUUUCCUAUAAAAGGCCGAUAAAUUAAACGAGAUCCUUGAGGAUAUGAAAAGGGAUCAACUAGAAAUUACGUACACACUGACUGAAAU